rnacentral:rRNA from 1 species
GGUGAACCUGCGGAGGGAUCAUUACCGAGUUAUACAACUCAUCAACCCUGUGAACAUACCUAAAACGUUGCUUCGGCGGGAACAGACGGCCCUGUAACAACGGGCCGCCCCCGCCAGAGGACCCCUAACUCUGUUUUUAUAAUGUUUUUCUGAGUAAACAAGCAAAUAAAUUAAAACUUUCAACAACGGAUCUCUUGGCUCUGGCAUCGAUGAAGAACGCAGCGAAAUGCGAUAAGUAAUGUGAAUUGCAGAAUUCAGUGAAUCAUCGAAUCUUUGAACGCACAUUGCGCCCGCCAGUAUUCUGGCGGGCAUGCCUGUUCGAGCGUCAUUACAACCCUCAGGCCCCCGGGCCUGGCGUUGGGGAUCGGCGGAAGCCCCCUGUGGGCACACGCCGUCCCUCAAAUACAGUGGCGGUCCCGCCGCAGCUUCCAUUGCGUAGUAGCUAACACCUCGCAACUGGAGAGCGGCGCGGCCAUGCCGUAAAACACCCAACUUCUGAAUGUUGACCUCGAAUCAGGUAGGAAUACCCGCUGAACUUAAGCAUAUCAAUAAGCGGAGGAGGAUCCGUG